GUGGGGAAUAUUGGGCAAUGGGCGAAAGCCUGACCCAGCAACGCCGCGUGAAGGAAGAAGGUUUUCGGAUUGUAAACUUCUGUCCUCAGGGAAGAAGGAAGUGACGGUACCUGAGGAGGAAGCCCCGGCUAACUACGUGCCAGCAGCCGCGGUAAUACGUAGGGGGCGAGCGUUGUCCGGAAUGACUGGGCGUAAAGGGCGCGUAGACGGCCGAAUAAGUCUGGAGUGAAAGUCCUGCUUUCAAGGUGGGAAUUGCUUUGGAGACUGUUUGGCUUGAGUGCGGAAGAGGUAAGUGGAAUUCCCAGUGUAGCGGUGAAAUGCGUAGAGAUUGGGAGGAACACCAGUGGCGAAGGCGACUUACUGGGCCGUAACUGACGUUGAUGCGCGAAAGCGUGGGGAGCGAACAGGAUUAGAUACCCUGGUAGUCC
rnacentral:rRNA from 1 species